rnacentral:tRNA from 1 species
AUUAAACUUUAAUAAUUUAAAUAAAAUAAUGGUCUUGUAAACCAUCAAUAAGACUAUUCUUUUAAAGUA